UACGGAGGGUGCAAGCGUUAAUCGGAAUUACUGGGCGUAAAGGGUGCGUAGGCGGUUUUUUAAGUCUGUUGUGAAAUCCCCGGGCUCAACCUGGGAAUGGCAAUGGAUACUGGACAGCUAGAGUGUGUCAGAGGAUGGUGGAAUUCCCGGUGUAGCGGUGAAAUGCGUAGAGAUCGGGAGGAACAUCAGUGGCGAAGGCGGCCAUCUGGGACAACACUGACGCUGAAGCACGAAAGCGUGGGGAGCAAACAGG
rnacentral:rRNA from 1 species